GGGCCUGUGGCCAAAUGGCAAGGCGCCUGACUACGAUCAUUCCGAUCAGCAAUCAGGAGAUUCUAGGUUCGAUCCCUAGCAGGCUCG